UGUCUGCUCAAUGAUUUUUUAAAUUGCUGUGGUAUUUUGACUAUACAAAGGUAUUGAAAUAAGAUUUUAAUUGAAUGCUAAGAGAAUGGAAGUCCAGAAAAAAACUUUUUUUAAAUUAAAAAUUGAAGUUUUUUUAAUUUGUGCAGAAACAAUUAUUUAUAUUAAAGACAAGAAGACCCUAUGAAUUUAUUAAAUUUUUAUUUAAUAUGUAAUUACUAUUAGAAAAAUUUUGGCUGGGGCGGCUAGAAAAUAUUAUAAACUUUUUAAAAAUAAAAUGAUCCAUUAUUAAUGAUUUAUGUUAAAUACUAUAGGGAUAACAGCGUUAUAUUUUUUGAUAGAUCAUUGG
rnacentral:rRNA from 1 species